rnacentral:misc_RNA from 1 species
GGAAAUUGAAUAUCAUGGAAUUGUAAAUCACCAUUUAGAUGUUCUGCAAUUUACAAGCUAGCAAACUUGUCAGCAUAGGCAUAUGAAGUAUUAAAAAGUCCUAAUAGACAGACGUCACAACAACCUUUUCAAUUUAUUCAUAUUGCAUAGUUAUCAAAGGAAUAUAUUACAUUCAAACAGAGGGGACUUGCAUAGCUGAUGAUAAAAUGAUUUAAGGAGCGAAAAAGAUGUACCCUGUAGUUCUUUCAUUGCUAUUUUUAAGUAGACUAAUUUGAUGUUCUAUUAUCAAGCAAGUAAUCUAUCAUAACUUUCAAAAGAAAUAGUGAGUGAAACUUGUAUCCUCACCGAAUGCAGCUUGUGCAAGCUCG